rnacentral:rRNA from 1 species
AGAGUUUGAUCCUGGCUCAGGAUGAACGCUAGCGGCAGGCUUAACACAUGCAAGUCGAGGGGUAGAGUAGCAAUACUUGAGACCGGCGCACGGGUGCGUAACGCGUAUGCAAUCUACCUUUUACAGAGGGAUAGCCCAGAGAAAUUUGGAUUAAUACCUCAUAGUAUAAUGACUCGGCAUCGAGAUAUUAUUAAAGUCACAACGGUAAAAGAUGAGCAUGCGUCCCAUUAGCUAGUUGGUGUGGUAACGGCACACCAAGGCAACGAUGGGUAGGGGUCCUGAGAGGGAGAUCCCCCACACUGGUACUGAGACACGGACCAGACUCCUACGGGAGGCAGCAGUGAGGAAUAUUGGUCAAUGGGCGCAAGCCUGAACCAGCCAUGCCGCGUGCAGGAUGACGGUCCUAUGGAUUGUAAACUGCUUUUGUACAGGAAGAAACACUCCCUCGUGAGGGAGCUUGACGGUACUGUAAGAAUAAGGAUCGGCUAACUCCGUGCCAGCAGCCGCGGUAAUACGGAGGAUCCAAGCGUUAUCCGGAAUCAUUGGGUUUAAAGGGUCCGUAGGCGGGUUUAUAAGUCAGUGGUGAAAGCCCAUCGCUCAACGAUGGAACGGCCAUUGAUACUGUAGAUCUUGAAUUAUUAGGAAGUAACUAGAAUAUGUAGUGUAGCGGUGAAAUGCUUAGAGAUUACAUGGAAUACCAAUUGCGAAGGCAGGUUACUACUAAUGGAUUGACGCUGAUGGACGAAAGCGUGGGUAGCGAACAGGAUUAGAUACCCUGGUAGUCCACGCCGUAAACGAUGGAUACUAGCUGUUCGGAGCAAUCUGAGUGGCUAAGCGAAAGUGAUAAGUAUCCCACCUGGGGAGUACGUUCGCAAGAAUGAAACUUAAAGGAAUUGACGG